rnacentral:tRNA from 1 species
GCCCUUGUAGCACAGUGGUAGUGCAACCGCCUUGUAAGCGGUAGGUCGUCUGUUCGAACCAGACCGAGGGCACCA